AGUGAACGCUGACGGUAGACCUAACACAUGCAAGUCGAACGGCAGCACAGUAAGAGCUUGCUCUUACGGGUGGCGAGUGGCGGACGGGUGAGGAAUACAUCGGAAUCUACUUUUUCGUGGGGGAUAACGUAGGGAAACUUACGCUAAUACCGCAUACGACCUACGGGUGAAAGCAGGGGAUCUUCGGACCUUGCGCGAUUGAAUGAGCCGAUGUCGGAUUAGCUAGUUGGCGGGGUAAAGGCCCACCAAGGCGACGAUCCGUAGCUGGUCUGAGAGGAUGAUCAGCCACACUGGAACUGAGACACGGUCCAGACUCCUACGGGAGGCAGCAGUGGGGAAUAUUGGACAAUGGGCGCAAGCCUGAUCCAGCCAUACCGCGUGGGUGAAGAAGGCCUUCGGGUUGUAAAGCCCUUUUGUUGGGAAAGAAAAGCAGCAGGUUAAUACCCCGCUGUUCUGACGGUACCCAAAGAAUAAGCACCGGCUAACUUCGUG
rnacentral:rRNA from 1 species